UCCCAAUGCGAAAUGUCGUCCGCUGCUUCCGCAUCUCCCUCCUCCUCCCAGCGCGGGCACCGUCGACCCUAGCUGUCCCGCUAAGCCGGACUCGGGCUGCCGGCCAUGCGCACGGCCCGUGCCUGGCGCGCGUCCGUGUGCCCCUCGCACCUACGAGGUUUCCCCCUUCUUCCCCACGGGAGCAGAGCAUGCGCUCGGCACUGCCGAUUUAGGGGCCAUCCCGGCGUCGUCGGAGGCCCCAGCAACCCUAUCGUCUCCCUCUUCUUGCCGGGCACCUUUCUCAUUGUCUCCAUGUCGGCCACCGCCAGACCUUAGACGAGACGACUCAACAUUGAGCCAGGGUGCGAGAUGCCGGAUCCAUCAGUCUGCGCCCGCCUUGAGCUGAGUCGUUCGUUCCUCCAUGCCUAGCCGCAAUUGAUGUUGGCAUGGAUUGCGUCGAUGAUGGCGAUGGCUAUGUGGCGUCGUUCUCGGCUGGAUAAACGCCGCCACGAUUUACAGGAGAAAUCCAUGGCGUCCGUACCUCGCUCUCUUGCAGCAAUGGACUACCACUCCCCUCCUCCAAGCAAUGAGGCAACCGCCAGAUUUGGCACUGAUCCAAGCUGUGAAGGAAAAGGGACGAAAAGAACACAGCGUUGCCAAGCAGUCGGCCCAUGACAAGGUUGUUAGCUCCAACUUCAAGGCCCAUCGUCAAGAAAUUACAGAAAAGGGGAUAUAAAAGCUACCUCGCGAUGAAAUUCCCUAAAUCUUGCAUACACAUAGGACAACCUACCGUGCUUCCCUAGGUCAAACCCUGGACAGCAAAAACACCCUCUUUGCCGGUAAAUUCCAACAACGGGGCCAGGUCAGGGUCUAUCACAUAUCUCAAGCGGCUAUUCAACAAGCAAGAACAUGGAAAUAGAAGACAGACUUGAAACAAAAGGGUUAAUAUAGCUAUUGCAUGCUUCAGUCAUUAUAUAGAGGAGUUCUAGCACUUGUGUAUCUCCAUGCGGUGCCCUUUGGUGUCCGUCGUAUAUACUGCAAUAUACACAAAAUCAGAUCCAUGAGAUGUUGACAUGUCUUCUUUGAUUAUCAUGAGUUCUUCUGAAUCGCUAUA